GCUUGGUGUGGUGGCACAUGUAUGUAAUCCUUUAUAUUGGGGAGGCUGAGGUUGGUGGACUGCCUGUUUUUGGGAAUUUUGAGCUGCAGCGGGCUAAGCGACCAGCUGUCUGUAUUAAAUCCAGCAUCAAAAUGGUGACCCUCAGGAGGUGGAUCACCAGGCUGCCUUAGGAGCAAGGAAUGAGCCUAGGUUUGAAACUGAACAGGUCUAAAUUCACGUGCUCAUCAGUGGUAGGAUUGGGUGGCAAAUGGUCUCUGCAUUUCUAGUCUAGUCAAGAUAUGGAAAUCCAGUCUCA
rnacentral:SRP_RNA from 1 species